GUGCUUGCUUCAGCAACACAUAUACUAAAGUGGGAAUGAUACAGACGAUACUAGCAUCACUCUUGCACAAAAAGGACACACAAAUUUGUGAAGUGUUACAUAUUUUU
ensembl:snRNA U6 U6 spliceosomal RNA